CUUGGUUUAGAGGAAGUAAAAGUCGUAACAAGGUUUCCGUAGGUGAACCUGCGGAAGGAUCAUUAACACGUAUCCAACGUAUCCACCCCUGUGGUCUUGUGCGCGUCUAUACAUUGAGUGAUGGAAACCACUUUGCAACCCGCGUGGUGCAAAUGAAAACCGCAUCGCUGAGUCUUAAGUUACCCGCGAGGUAGCAGAAAUUCAGAUGUGUGGUUGGUAACUGUCAGUUUUCUUCGAGAGAACAGCUCUGUGUAGCAGACGUUUUAACCAACCAUUUAACCCAAAUUGUCUAAUCUAGAAAUAAGUAUGGUGCGCCCUGCUUUAUUUCGACUUACGAAAUGUUACAACUCUUAACAACGGAUAUCUUGGUUCUG
rnacentral:misc_RNA from 1 species